UCUGGUGUCAGCCGCCGCGGUAAUACCAGCUCUCCGAGUGGUAGGGAUGAUUAUUGGGCUUAAAGCGUCCGUAGCCGGCUUAGCAAGUCUCCUGUUAAAUUCAGCGACCUAAUCGUUGAGCCGCGGGAGAUACUACUAGGCUAGGAGGCGGGAGAGGCCGACGGUAUUCUCGGGGUAGGGGUGAAAUCCUAUAAUCCCGGGAGGACCACCAGUGGCGAAGGCUGUCGGCUAGAACGCGCUCGACGGUGAGGGACGAAAGCUGGGGGAGCGAACCGGAUUAGAUACCCGGGUAGUCCCAGCUGUAAACGAUGCGGGCUAGGUGUUGGGGUGGCUACGAGCCACUUCAGUGCCGCAGGGAAGCCAUUAA
rnacentral:rRNA from 1 species